rnacentral:rRNA from 1 species
GGAAAGGUGAAAAGAACCCCGAACAGGGGAGUGAAAUAGAACCUGAAACCAUACGCUUACAACCGGUCGGAGCAGCUUCGUGCUGUGACGGCGUGCCUAUUGAAUAAUGAGCCUACGAGUUACUAAUCACUGGCGAGGUUAAGUGCACGGAUGCACGGAGCCGAAGCGAAAGCGAGUCUGAACAGGGCGGCUAGUCAGUGGUUGUAGACGCGAAACCUUGCGAUCUACCCUUGAGCAGGUUGAAGGUUGGGUAAAACCAACUGGAGGACCGAACGAAUAAGCGUUGAAAAGCUUCUCGAUGACUUGAGGGUAGGGGUGAAAGGCUAAUCAAGCUGGGAAAUAGCUCGUACUCCCCGAAAUGCCUUUAGGGGCAGCGUUGUAAUUAAGAGUCUACUGGAGGUAGAGCUACUGAUUGGAUGCGGGGGCUUCACCGCCUACCAAAUCCUGACAAACUCCGAAUGCCAGUAGUAUGAUUUACAGCAGUGAGCGACCGGGUGCUAAUGUCCGGUUACGAGAGUGGAACAACACAGACCAGCAACUAAGGUCCCGAAGAGUAUACUAAGUUGAUCUAACGAUGUUUUGCUGCAGAGACAGCUAGGAUGUUAGCUUGGAAGCAGCUAUUCAUUCAAAGAGUGCGUAACAGCUCACUAGUCGAGCGACAAAGCGUGGAUAAUAAACGGGCAUCAAGUAUACCACCGAAGUUCUGGGCACGAAAGUGCGGUAGGGGAGCAUUCCAUUCAGCGUCGAAGCAGUUUCGUGAGGAAUUGUGGAGCGUAUGGAAAAGCAAAUGUAGGCAUGAGUAACGAUAAUGCGGGAGAGUAACCCGCACACCGCAAGACCAAGGUUUCCUGAUCAACGCUAAUCGGAUCAGGGUUAGUCGGGUCCUAAGGGUAAGCCGAACGGUGAUCUCGAUGGACAAUCGGUUAAUAUUCCGAUACUAACAUAUACCUCGAUGGAGAGACGAAGGAACGUAAGUGACGCCGCCUGACGGAAUAGGUGGUUAAAGGGCGUAGGUAUAGGGACAGAUUAAGAGUUAGUCCUUGCUGAAACCCGACAGUACGGAGCGGCUACGGCCAAUCUGAUAGUUCACCCAAGUCGACUUCCGAGAAAAUCUUCUAAGUUAUAGUAUAUGUUACCCGUACCGUAAACCGACACAGGUGGUCGAGGAGAGUAUCCUAAGGUGCUCGAGUGAAUCACGGUUAAGGAACUAGGCAAAUUAACCCCGUAACUUCGGGAAAAGGGGUCCCUACGCGAGUAGGGCGCAGCGAAGAGGUCCAGGCGACUGUUUAUCAAAAACACAGGGCUCUGCAAAUUCGAAAGAAGACGUAUAGGGCCUGACACCUGCCCGGUGCUGGAAGGUUAAGAGGGGAUGUCAUCGCAAGAGAAGCAUUGAAUCGAAGCCCCAGUAAACGGCGGCCGUAACUAUAACGGUCCUAAGGUAGCGAAAUUCCUUGUCGGGUAAGUUCCGACCUGCACGAAUGGUGUAACGAUCUGGACACUGUCUCAACCGUGAGCUCGGUGAAAUUGUAGUCCCGGUGAUGAUGCCGGGUACCCGCAACGGGACGAAAAGACCCCGUGAACCUUUACUAUAGCUUAACGCUGAAUUUGGGUACACAAUGUGUAGGAUAGGCCGGAGACAUUGAAGCGGGUACGCCAGUAUUCGUGGAGUCAACGUUGAAAUACGGCCCUUUGUGUAUUUGAGUUCUAACCCUGCGAAGGGGACACCGUUUGGUGGGUAGUUUGACUGGGGUGGUCGCCUCCAAAAGCGUAACGGAGGCUUCCCAAGGUACCCUCAGCACGAAUGGUAACCGUGCGCAGAGUGCAAUAGCAUAAGGGUGCUUGACUGUGAGACAUACAAGUCGACCAGGUACGAAAGUAGGGUAUAGUGAUCCGGUGGUUCUGCGUGGACUGGCCAUCGCUCAAAGGAUAAAAGGUACUCCGGGGAUAACAGGCUGAUCGCCGCCAAGAGCUCAUAUCGACGCGGCGGUUUGGCACCUCGAUGUCGGCUCGUCACAUCCUGGGGCUGGAGAAGGUCCCAAG